rnacentral:snRNA from 1 species
GUGCUCAUUGCAGCAUAAUACUAAAAUUGGAAAGAUACAGAGAUUAGUGUAGCCCCUGUGCAAGGAUGACAAGCAAAUUUGUGAAGCAGUCCAUUAAAUA